rnacentral:snRNA from 1 species
GGAUAUGAGGACAAUCUGGCUGUAACAUGUGCCAACCUAUUGAUCACUAUGAUCAGUUCAGGGUGAUCUAGUUCAUAGGCCAGUAUCUCCUUCCACCCUCCUCACUCCAUGUGCAUCCCUCCUAAAAUGGUGCACUGUGUUAAAGAUGACUACAUUUCUGAAUAGAAGAGGACUGGUCUUUUGUCAAAGGUAUAUGAGUAGCUGCACUCCCCUCCUAGAGCUUCCCAGCAAGCUCUCAAAUUCAUGGACUCUUUUUGCUGUUGGACACAUCAGUAAUUGUUACACAUACACACGCAUUUCUAAAUGCAUAAUUAUGACCUUAU